GCUGCCUCCAACAAGAGCCGCUAAAGGCUCAUGUCCGCUAAAUGUGAGGGACUGUCAGGUCCCCUACGUCUCCAACAAGGUCCUCUAAAGCGUCCCCUAAAUUAUAGAGGAUGUGCCAGAGACCCUAACUGUGGAGGCCGCCCACCGUGCGCUAUCCGCGCGACGGAUCCACCAGCCGCCGCGAGGAAACUUCCGCCUCCUCCUACCGCGCGCUGGCGACUACAUCUCCCGGGGCCGAGCCCUCAAUCCGGCGUGCUUCGUCGCCGGCAUCGAGGCAGGUGGGAGACAAGAGGGCUUGCGAGAGCGGACGCGGAGCAUGGCGGAGGAGCAGAUCGAAGAGGCGUCCAUGGCCAUCGCCGGACGCGGAGCAUCGUGGAGGAGCAGAUCGAAGAGGCGUCCAUGGCCACGGCGGCGGCCACGCCGUUCCAGCUCCAGUUCGACAAGCCCAUCCCGUUCCAGGGCAACGGCUGGUUCACGGAUGGGCAAGCUAGGCCAUUGCCCCAUCUCAAAUUUUACGAUCUACACAGGAUCAGAGAGGGAGUCAGGAAAGAAGGCGCUCAAAAGUCGGGACAAAAAUAUCUGAGUGAAUCGGACCUGCAGAAUGCGGACGGUCACCCAGAGAUUGAUCUUGCGUUCGUGCUGCUGCUGCCCCGCCGGUCACUGAUUUGAUUUUAUUGGUGAAUCGGUGCAGCCAAAAGAUAAAAAUGGCAGAAUGGAAUCCAGAGAAGGAUCUGCUUGCUAUGGUUACUGAUGACUCCAAGGUUCUCCUCCAUCGCUUCAAUUGGCAAAGGCUUUGGACAAUCUCUCUAGGGAAGUGCAUCACAUCAAUUUGUUGGAGCCCUGAUGGUAAAAUAAUAGCACUUGGCACAUAAGCUGGUUUGAUUCUUUUGCAUGAUGUGGAGGUGUGUAUCUGGAUGAUGAUAAAAAUUGUCGGUGUCUAUUGUAUCUUUGUAUGAACAUUCGUUUGUACUUCAUAGACACCUGAUCCAGUGCCUAUCUUCUCUUAAUAUUUUUCUAAUUGCUUAUUCUCAUUUUUAUAUCAUGCUUAAACCUUAUGAGCGAA